UACGUAGGGUGCAAGCGUUGUCCGGAAUUAUUGGGCGUAAAGAGCUCGUAGGCGGUUUGUUGCGUCGGCUGUGAAAUCCCGAGGCUCAACCUCGGGUCUGCAGUCGAUACGAGCAAACUAGAGUGUUGCAGGGGAGACUGGAAUUCCUGGUGUAGCGGUGAAAUGCGCAGAUAUCAGGAGGAACACCGGUGGCGAAGGCGGGUCUCUGGGCAACAACUGACGCUGAGGCGCGAAAGCUGGGGGAGCGAACGGG
rnacentral:rRNA from 1 species